rnacentral:lncRNA from 1 species
GCCAAUCUACUUUUGCCCAUUUAUCUAAAGAUUUUAUCGAUAAAGAACAAUGGGUAUUGAAGUAGUUAUUCUUUUUUUUCUUUUUCUAUCUCUUUUUUUCUAUUUUUUUUUAUUCGCAAAGGUUCGAUUCGACAUUGUUUCAACAUGUGGGUUCUCUCUCAGGUAUCGAAUAAUAUCACUAGACAAUCUCUCCAUCAAAGGUCUUGUGCAAAUGUGUGUGCCAUCUUGGAAUUACGAGUACAAAUCGGUCGAUACAAGUUUCAAAAAGACAACCUUAC